GAUUAGGAUUAUGUUAAGAGUCUGUAUCUACUGUUGGCUAGAUUUUGAACCUAACGGAUUACAUACUUUAAAAUUUGAUCUUGGUCUAAUUUAAUUUAAAUUUAAUAUAAAUUUUAGGGGUUAAUUUGAUAUGCUAGCAUAUUGUGUUAACUUAAGUUCCUAUUAGGUUCAGUUCAAAGCAUUUGAGCUAAAUUAGACCAGUUACCUUUGACCUAAUGGGAUUGGAUCUAUUUUAAUUUGAUUCUUAUCUAACUUAGAAGUGUUUCGAGUGUGAAAAGAGUCCUCU
rnacentral:lncRNA from 1 species